CCUACGGUGAGCUGCAGUGGGGAAUAUUGGGCAAUGGGCGCAAGCCUGACCCAGCAACGCCGCGUGAAGGAAGAAGGCUUUCGGGUUGUAAACUUCUUUUAUCAGGGACGAAGCAAGUGACGGUACCUGAUGACUAAGCCACGGCUAACUACGUGCCAGCAGCCGCGGUAAUACGUAGGUGGCAAGCGUUAUCCGGAUUUACUGGGUGUAAAGGGAGUGUAGGCGGGAGUGCAAGUCAGAUGUGAAAACUAUGGGCUCAACCCAUAGCCUGCAUUUGAAACUGUACUUCUUGAGUGCUGGAGAGGCAAUCGGAAUUCCGUGUGUAGCGGUGAAAUGCGUAGAUAUACGGAGGAACACCAGUGGCGAAGGCGGAUUGCUGGACAGUAACUGACGCUGAGGCGCGAAAGCGUGGGGAGCAAACAGGAUUAGAUACCCGAGUAGUC
rnacentral:rRNA from 1 species